rnacentral:lncRNA from 1 species
CGUGAACGAUAUUUCAAAUUACGCGCGAGAGAGAUCUUGUAUUGUAGAUGGCGUUGCGGUUGUGGCUCGUGUUUUGGUUGUGUUGGACGGAGGAAGUCACGUGGACGGAACUGUACAUUUUGUUUUGAACCUUUGUGAUCCCUGAACAUUGAUACGGAUUUAUGAUUUACUUGAAUUAGUGUUUAGUGUCUCAGAAACAAAGUGACUUCCUUCUGUAGGGCAUUGAGUAUUGGAUUAAUGCUGCUGGACCGGAAGAAAUUUGCACAGGAGAUUGUGGAAAGGGCAAAGGCGAAAGAAGUUGAAUAUUAAUAAAGACAACGCUUUCAA